rnacentral:rRNA from 1 species
GCGGAAGUUUUCGGAUGGAAGCAAUAAACCUUAGCGGCGGACGGGUGAGUAACGCGUGGGUAACCUGCCUCAUACAGGGGGAUAACAGUUAGAAAUGACUGCUAAAACCGCAUAAGCGCACAUUGUCGAGUGACAGAGUGUGAAAAACUCCGGUGGUAUGAGAUGGACCCGCGUCUGAUUAGCUAGUUGGUGAGGUAACGGCCCACCAAGGCGACGAUCAGUAGCCGGCCUGAGAGGGCGACCGGCCACAUUGGGACUGAGACACGGCCCAAACUCCUACGGGAGGCAGCAGUGGGGAAUAUUGCACAAUGGGGGAAACCCUGAUGCAGCGACGCCGCGUGAGUGAAGAAGUAUUUCGGUAUGUAAAGCUCUAUCAGCAGGGAAGAAGAAAGACGGUACCUGACUAAGAAGCCCCGGCUAACUACGUGCCAGCAGCCGCGGUAAUACGUAGGGGGCAAGCGUUAUCCGGAUUUACUGGGUGUAAAGGGAGCGUAGACGGCUGUGCAAGUCUGAAGUGAAAGCCCAGGGCUCAACCCUGGGACUGCUUUGGAAACUGUGGAGCUAGAGUGCUGGAGAGGUAAGUGGAAUUCCUAGUGUAGCGGUGAAAUGCGUAGAUAUUAGGAGGAACACCAGUGGCGAAGGCGGCUUACUGGACAGUAACUGACGUUGAGGCUCGAAAGCGUGGGGAGCAAACAGGAUUAGAUACCCUGGUAGUCCACGCGGUAAACGAUGAAUACUAGGUGUUGGAGAGCAAAGCUUUUCGGUGCCGUCGCAGACGCAAUAAGUAUUCCACCUGGGGAGUGCGUUCGCAAGAAUGAAACUCAAAGGAAUUGACGGGGACCCGCACAAGCGGUGGAGCAUGUGGUUUAAU